AUUGAACGCUGGCGGCAGGCCUAACACAUGCAAGUCGAGCGGAUGAAGGGAGCUUGCUCCUGGAUUUAGCGGCGGACGGGUGAGUAAUGCCUAGGAAUCUGCCUGGUAGUGGGGGAUAACGUCCGGAAACGGGCGCUAAUACCGCAUACGUCCUGAGGGAGAAAGUGGGGGAUCUUCGGACCUCACGCUAUCAGAUGAGCCUAGGUCGGAUUAGCUAGUUGGUGGGGUAAAGGCCUACCAAGGCGACGAUCCGUAACUGGUCUGAGAGGAUGAUCAGUCACACUGGAACUGAGACACGGUCCAGACUCCUACGGGAGGCAGCAGUGGGGAAUAUUGGACAAUGGGCGAAAGCCUGAUCCAGCAAUGCCGCGUGUGUGAAGAAGGUCUUCGGAUUGUAAAGCACUUUAAGUUGGGAGGAAGGGCAGUAAGUUAAUACCUUGCCGUUUUGACGUUACCAACAGAAUAAGCACCGGCUAACUUCGUG
rnacentral:rRNA from 1 species